rnacentral:rRNA from 1 species
AAUGAACGCUGGCGGCGUGCCUAACACAUGCAAGUCGCACGAGAAAGUCCCAGCUUGCUGGGGCUAGUAAAGUGGCGCACGGGUGAGUAACGCGUGGGUAAUCUACCUCCGAAUUGGGGAUAACACUGCGAAAGCGGUGCUAAUACCGAAUGACAUCCCCGGGACUCCGGUCCUGGUGAUCAAAGGUGGCCUCUACAUGUAAGCUAUUGUUUGGAGAUGAGCCCGCGUACCAUUAGCUAGUUGGUAGGGUAAUGGCCUACCAAGGCUACGAUGGUUAGCUGGUCUGAGAGGAUGAUCAGCCACACUGGAACUGACACACGGUCCAGACUCCUACGGGAGGCAGCAGUGAGGAAUUUUGCGCAAUGGGAGAAACCCUGACGCAGCAACGCCGCGUGAGUGAUGAAGGCUUUCGGGUCGUAAAGCUCUGUCAAGUGGGAAGAACCUGCUUUGUGAUAAUACCACGAAGCACUGACGGUACCACUGAAGGAAGCACCGGCUAACUCCGUGCCAGCAGCCGCAGUAAGAC